GAUGAACGCUGGCGGCGUGCCUAAUACAUGCAAGUCGAGCGGUAACACUUCGGGUGACGAGCGGCGGACGGCUGAGUAACGCGUAGGAACAUACCCCAAACUGAGGGAUAAGCAUCGGAAACGGUGUCUAAUACCGCAUGUGGUCUUCGGAUUAAAGCUUCGGCGGUUUGGGAAUGGCCUGCGUCCGAUUAGCUUGUUGGUGAGGCAAAAGCUCACCAAGGCGACGAUCGGUAGCUGGUCUGAGAGGAUGAUCAGCCAGACUGGGACUGAGACACGGCCCAGAUUCCUACGGGAGGCAGCAGUAGGGAAUUUUCCACAAUGGGCGAAAGCCUGAUGGAGCAACGCCGCGUGCAGGAUGAAGGCCUUCGGGUUGUAAACUGCUUUUAUCUGUGAAGAUUAUGACGGUAGCAGAUGAAUAAGGAUCGGCUAACUCCGUGCCAGCCGCCGCCGUAA
rnacentral:rRNA from 1 species